rnacentral:rRNA from 1 species
UACGUAGGGGGCAAGCGUUGUCCGGAAUCAUUGGGCGUAAAGGGCGCGUAGGCGGCCUGAUAAGUCAAAGGUGAAAUCCCUCGGUUCAACUGAGGAAUUGCCUUUGAAACUGUCAGGCUUGAGGCCGGGAGGGGGUGGCGGAAUUCCCAGUGUAGCGGUGAAAUGCGUAGAUAUUGGGAGGAACACCAGUGGCGAAGGCGGCCACCUGGACCGGUUCUGACGCUGAUGCGCGAAAGCGUGGGGAGCAAACAGG